rnacentral:rRNA from 1 species
GAUGAACGCUAGCUACAGGCUUAACACAUGCAAGUCGAGGGGCAGCACAGUGUAGCAAUACAUGGGUGGCGACCGGCGCACGGGUGCGUAACGCGUAUCCAACCUUCCCGUUACUCUUGGAUAGCCUUCCGAAAAGGGAGAUUAAUACAAGAUGGUAUUCAAAUUCCGCAUGUUAUUUGAAUUAAAGAUUUAUCGGUAACGGAUGGGGAUGCGUGACAUUAGGUAGAUGGCGGGGUAACGGCCCACCAUGCCUACGAUGUCAAGGGGUUCUGAGAGGAAGGUCCCCCACACUGGAACUGAGACACGGUCCAGACUCCUACGGGAGGCAGCAGUGAGGAAUAUUGGUCAAUGGCCGCGAGGCUGAACCAGCCAAGUAGCGUGAAGGAAGAAGGCCUUCGGGUUGUAAACUUCUUUAGUAGGGACGAAGAACGUGACGGUACCUACAGAAAAAGCAACGGCUAACUACGUG